CAUAAAUCCCAUAUUGCCAAGAUUAUCAUCCAGACCAGUUUCUCAUGGUUUUAUCCUCUAAUAUGGUACAGGAUAUCGCCUGACAUUUCAUCAGGUAUGCACAUAAGUCCUUUUUAUCCUCUUACCUCCCCAAGGAAACAGGAACUCACAAAAUCCCAGAAUAUUUAUCACUCAGAUAUUGGAGGACACAGAACCUACUGAUGGAUAGUACACCUUCACCUCCCACAAAAAAGAGGCAGGAAUUAGCAAGUUUGCGAACAUUUUGGCAGGAACUCGCAGGUGUCUCAAGGAGGGGAUUGUGCCAAGAAUUGGCAAGUAACAAACCAAGCAAGAAUUUCAAUGGAAAAUUACAGAGAUACUAACAGGUUUGAGUACUUAUAAAUACAAAAUAAAUAAACGGAGUUAAAUUACUUUAUUAUUACAAUGCAGAAAUGAGGAAGUGUAAUAGCCAGCUAGUCUUGGAAUAUGGCACUGUGAAUGAAAUGAUUAAUUGCAUAUUCAUCUGGUCUCAGAUACAGGACAUUCUCUUGCAUAGGUUAAAUGUAUUAAUGGUAGAGAAUUAUGCAAAAAAUACUCAUUUUCUCCAAUACCAGAACAUACAGGAAGCAAGUAAAGGUAAUUUCACAAUUCAUCUAAUUUCUUGUACUACUAAAGAAAAGUAAAACUUGAGGAUCAGUAGUGGCCAUGGUAUGGUUUGACUAUGUCCCCUCCAAAAUCUAGUGUUGAAACUUAAUGACCAUUGUGAUGGUAUUAAGAGGUGAUUGAGUCGUAAGAGCUCCUUCCCUCAUGAUAGGAUUAAGUCCCUCAUAAAAGAGGGCUCAAGCAACAUUAGAUUUUCUUGUGUCUGAAGCUAUGUGAAGCCAGAUGAGGACACAGUGUUCUUGUCUUCCGGAAAAUAUAGCAAGAAGGCAUAAUGUUGGAAGCAGAGAGUAGCCUUUGCCAGACAACAGAUCCUACUGGUGCCUAGAUCUUGGACAUCCAGCCUCCAGAACUGUGAAAAAAAUAAAUUUAUGUUCUUCAUAAAUUAUUUGGUCUCAGAUAUUGUGUUAUAAUAGCACAAAAUGGAGUAAGGCACCAUUAGUUUUUUAUUGGUGUGGAAAGUGUAGCUGAAUAGGUUUGCUGAUUUAUUUCCAGAAACAUACGACUAAUGGAAGUUUUCAUUCUUAACGAAACAGUCUUUCCCCUGUAUUAUUUUCUACAUUCCCAAUCCAGAGGUAUAAUGAUAACAGGAUCACACUUCUAGGACAUAGAUCUUAAAUGCAUGUUUUGCUCAAAACUACAUUUUCAAAAAUAAAAAAAAAACGAUGUUUUGCAUCUUCUAAGAUCUAAGAAUAUUAUCUGUGAAAAUAAAUUGCUUAUGUGCUUGACAAUUUAGUACCACAUUGUAAAACCAUCUUAUAGACUAGUGAUAAAAAAGAACAAUUGAUAAGUAAAACAUUUUAGUAC
rnacentral:lncRNA from 1 species